GAUGAACGCUGGCGGCGUGCCUAAUACAUGCAAGUCGAGCGAACAGACAAGGAGCUUGCUCCUUUGACGUUAGCGGCGGACGGGUGAGUAACACGUGGAUAACCUACCUAUAAGACUGGGAUAAUUUCGGGAAACCGGAGCUAAUACCGGAUAAUAUAUUGAACCGCAUGGUUCAAUAGUGAAAGACGGUUUUGCUGUCUCUUAUAGAUGGAUCCGCGCCGCAUUAGCUAGUUGGUAAGGUAACGGCUUACCAAGGCGACGAUGCGUAGCCGACCUGAGAGGGUGAUCGGCCACACUGGAACUGAGACACGGUCCAGACUCCUACGGGAGGCAGCAGUAGGGAAUCUUCCGCAAUGGGCGCAAGCCUGACGGAGCAACGCCGCGUGAGUGAUGAAGGUCUUCGGAUCGUAAAACUCUGUUAUUAGGGAAGAACAAAUGUGUAAGUAACUGUGCACGUCUUGACGGUACCUAAUCAGAAAGCCACGGCUAACUACGUG
rnacentral:rRNA from 1 species